UUGGAAGAGUUUGAUCCUGGCUCAGGAUGAACGCUGGCGGCGUGCCUAAUACAUGCAAGUCGAACGAGUUCUCGUUGAUGAUCGGUGCUUGCACCGAGAUUCAACAUGGAACGAGUGGCGGACGGGUGAGUAACACGUGGGUAACCUGCCCUUAAGUGGGGGAUAACAUUUGGAAACAGAUGCUAAUACCGCAUAGAUCCAAGAACCGCAUGGUUCUUGGCUGAAAGAUGGCGUAAGCUAUCGCUUUUGGAUGGACCCGCGGCGUAUUAGCUAGUUGGUGAGGUAAUGGCUCACCAAGGCGAUGAUACGUAGCCGAACUGAGAGGUUGAUCGGCCACAUUGGGACUGAGACACGGCCCAAACUCCUACGGGAGGCAGCAGUAGGGAAUCUUCCACAAUGGACGCAAGUCUGAUGGAGCAACGCCGCGUGAGUGAAGAAGGCUUUCGGGUCGUAAAACUCUGUUGUUGGAGAAGAAUGGUCGGCAGAGUAACUGUUGUCGGGCGUGACGGU
rnacentral:rRNA from 2 species